GGGGUCGUAGCUCAUCUGGUAGAGCGUCUCGUUCGCAACGAGAAGGUAGGGGGUUCGAGUCCCCUCGACUCCACUA
rnacentral:tRNA from 1 species